rnacentral:rRNA from 1 species
UACGUAGGGUGCGAGCGUUGUCCGGAAUUACUGGGCGUAAAGAGCUCGUAGGCGGUUUGUCGCGUCUGCCGUGAAAGUCCGGGGCUCAACUCCGGAUCUGCGGUGGGUACGGGGCAGACUAGAGUGAUGUAGGGGGAGACUGGAAUUCCUGGUGUAGCGGUGAAAAUGCGCAGAUAUCAGGAGGAACACCGAUGGCGAAGGCAGGUCUCUGGGCAUUAACUGACGCUGAGGAGCGAAAGCAUGGGGAGCGAACAGG